rnacentral:rRNA from 1 species
GACGAACGCUGGCGGCGUGCUUAACACAUGCAAGUCGAACGGAAAGGCCCUGCUUUUGUGGGGUGCUCGAGUGGCGAACGGGUGAGUAACACGUGAGUAACCUGCCCUUGACUUUGGGAUAACUUCAGGAAACUGGGGCUAAUACCGGAUAGGAGCUCCUGCUGCAUGGUGGGGGUUGGAAAGUUUCGGCGGUUGGGGAUGGACUCGCGGCUUAUCAGCUUGUUGGUGGGGUAGUGGCUUACCAAGGCUUUGACGGGUAGCCGGCCUGAGAGGGUGACCGGCCACAUUGGGACUGAGAUACGGCCCAGACUCCUACGGGAGGCAGCAGUGGGGAAUAUUGCACAAUGGGCGGAAGCCUGAUGCAGCAACGCCGCGUGCGGGAUGACGGCCUUCGGGUUGUAAACCGCUUUCGCCUGUGACGAAGCGUGAGUGACGGUAAUGGGUAAAGAAGCACCGGCUAACUACGUGCCAGCAGCCGCGGUGAUACGUAGGGUGCGAGCGUUGUCCGGAUUUAUUGGGCGUAAAGGGCUCGUAGGUGGUUGAUCGCGUCGGAAGUGUAAUCUUGGGGCUUAACCCCUGAGCGUGCUUUCGAUACGGGUUGACUUGAGGAAGGUAGGGGAGAAUGGAAUUCCUGGUGGAGCGGUGGAAUGCGCAGAUAUCAGGAGGAACACCAGUGGCGAAGGCGGUUCUCUGGGCCUUUCCUGACGCUGAGGAGCGAAAGCGUGGGGAGUGAACAGGCUUAGAUACCCUGGUAGUCCACGCUGUAAACGGUGGGUACUAGGUGUGGGGUCCAUUCCACGGGUUCCGUGCCGUAGCUAACGCUUUAAGUACCCCGCCUGGGGAGUACGGCCGCAAGGCUAAAACUCAAAGGAAUUGACGGGGCCCCGCACAAGCGGCGGAGCAUGCGGAUUAAUUCGAUGCAACGCGUAGAACCUUACCUGGGUUUGACAUGGAUCGGGAGUGCUCAGAGAUGGGUGUGCCUCUUUUGGGGUCGGUUCACAGGUGGUGCAUGGCUGUCGUCAGCUCGUGUCGUGAGAUGUUGGGUUAAGUCCCGCAACGAGCGCAACCCCUGUUCACUGUUGCCAGCACGUUAUGGUGGGGACUCAGUGGAGACCGCCGGGGUCAACUCGGAGGAAGGUGGGGAUGACGUCAAGUCAUCAUGCCCCUUAUGUCCAGGGCUUCACGCAUGCUACAAUGGCUGGUACAGAGAGUGGCGAGCCUGUGAGGGUGAGCGAAUCUCGGAAAGCCGGUCUCAGUUCGGAUUGGGGUCUGCAACUCGACCUCAUGAAGUCGGAGUCGCUAGUAAUCGCAGAUCAGCAACGCUGCGGUGAAUACGUUCCCGGG